rnacentral:tRNA from 1 species
GGUCUUGUAUAUUAAUUUAAAAAUAAUUAAAUUGCAAAUUUAAAGAUGAUUUUGGAUCUAAGACUU